rnacentral:rRNA from 1 species
UACGUAGGGUGCAAGCGUUGUCCGGAAUUAUUGGGCGUAAAGAGCUCGUAGGCGGUUUGUCGCGUCUGCUGUGAAAACCCGAGGCUCAACCUCGGGCCUGCAGUGGGUACGGGCAGACUAGAGUGCGGUAGGGGAGAUUGGAAUUCCUGGUGUAGCGGUGGAAUGCGCAGAUAUCAGGAGGAACACCAACGGCGAAGGCAGCUCGCUGGGACGGAACUGACGCUAAGGCGCGAAAGCGUGGGGAGCGAACAGG